rnacentral:rRNA from 1 species
UACGGAGGGUGCGAACGUUAAUCGGAAUCACUGGGCGUAAAGCGCGCGUAGGCGGUGUGUUAAGUGGGAUGUGAAAUCCCCGGGCUUAACCUGGGAAUUGCAUUUCAAACUGGCCGACUAGAGUACGGUAGAGGGAGGUAGAAUUUCCUGUGUAGCGGUGAAAUGCGUAGAUAUAGGAAGGAAUACCAGUGGCGAAGGCGGCCUCCUGGAUCGAUACUGACGCUGAGGCGCGAAAGCGUGGGGAGCAAACAGG